CUGAGGGGCGGGGGGAGGUCCUGUGGUCGUGACGUCAGCCCGCCAGUGACGCAACAGUCCCAGAAGACGUCAUGACGUCGCGGCGGCCGCGGGCGGGAGAGAGAGGCGCAGGCCGCCUUGGGGCUUUCUUUUGCGGCCAGCUGUGGAGGCGUCGGGGAGAGAGGGCGGGCGGCCCGGAGAGAUGUCCGGGCGGACGCGGCCCGGGGGCUGCGCAGAACCUCCGAGGGCCGGCCUGGCCGGGCGAGGUCAGCAUGCUGGCCAGGAAAGGGAAGCGGCCGUGACGCAGGCGGGGGGCUCUCUGGAGGAGGAGGGAAGUCUCUUGGACUUUGCUGGCUGUGCUCCCAUCUGAAGGCCCCAGUGGCUCCCUGAGGAGUCUCGCUGUGUGCCACAAGCCUGGGUGCCCAGGUCGUCUUCUGUCUGUCUUGUGUAUGUGUCGUUUUCACGGGGUCCUCCCCUCCUUCCUGGCAGUCCCUUCUUCUGCCCGUCUUCUUGCACGCAGCAGGUACCGAGGACCAGCUUUUUGAGCCCAUUUGAUGACUGCAAAGGGUCAAGAUUUGGGGUGCUCGAGUGCCAGAGUCCCCUUGGAUGUCUUCCUCAUCCUCCGCCAGCCAGGAAAAGUGAAAAGAGGGAACAGCAGCAGUCACAACCUUGUGAGGCCCUUGGGGAAGUCAGAAAGGGGAGAGACCACCCAGGGCUGUCUUCCAGGCCCGGGGCUCUGCCCCCAGAGCCACCUCACCAUCCUGUCUCUCUGCCAGCCUGUCUUGAAUCCACAGUCAGCAUUUCUCUUUUGAGGAAGGGGCCGAGAUGCCUGAAGCUGCAGCUUCUUUGGGGGCCAUGGGUUUUCACCAUCGACGUUGGUUGCUGGCAGGGGUCUCUGACAGCCCCAAAUCACCAGUGGUCUGUGCACUCCUGUCUCAAGAUGUUUGUUCGCUUUGUACAGAACUGGAAAGGGUCCAAAAGAAGCCGGGGCGCUCUGUUCGGGAACACAUGGCGGUCAGGAGGAGAACAAAGGGAGAGUCCUCCUGGGGAGCUCAGGCCCUGGAGAGAGUCACAAGGUGGCUGCUAGGACACGGCCUCCACCCCUCCGCUGAGCACGUCUAAGGAAGGAAGCUCAAGGUUCAAAUGGGAGCAAUGACAUUGAUCUAAAAGUGGGCAGCGGCCUCCUCAGAGAACUCAGCAGGUGGAGGGUUGGGGUGGACAGGUAGGGGCGACAGGGGCAGACAUGAGGGACAUUAAUGGAGACAGAAAAAGUGGAGUGAGGGAUUUCCUUUCUGGGCUAAGGUGUGUGGGGAGCCCACGAUUUUAGGGGCCUGCAGAUCCAGCGAUAGUGCACACUUGGAUUUGAGGAGGGGGCAACAACAAAUGCUUGGAGGUCAUGGCAGUGGGGUGAGGGAAAGGAUGAAGAGGAAUCCUGACUGGGUUGCCCAGGAAGAUGGUCCAGGUAGCAAGGAAGAAGGGGAAAAGAGAAUGGUAGAGGGAAAGCUAAGCUAAGGUUUGAAUGGUUGGUGUCCCUGUCCAGGAGUCGCUUGGAAAUAUAAUUAUGGAUCUCAAGAGAAAAGCUUGGGCUGAGCCAUAAAGGAAAUCAUGGAAAGGUUUAGGAGUAGAGAGAACAGGCUGCCUCGAGGAAGAGGUGGUAUUGGUGGGGCUGAACUCCCUUUAGCCUUGGCAGAACAUGGCAGGAGGGAAGUAGUGGUGACCACUUGUGUGCAGACUUUUGUGUGGCUAUGGAUGGACUUGCUUCAGAUGAGCUGUCGUGGGGGAGUCAUUUGAAAGGUGCUCAUUGAGAAAUGCAGAAUAACCGUCUUAAGAGUCCAUUCAUACCUUCAGACUGGCAAAAAUGAUAGAAAAGCAAAAUGAAGAUUGUAGGAGACAAGGAGGGCACAGCCAUUUAACACAGUCUCACUGUAGCUAUUGUGUAUGGCAAUUGGGAAAGAUGUUUAAACUUAGGUCUGUACCCUAGAGGUCAAAGAAAAGAGGGAAAAGAUGUGCGCUAAACUCUUGGGGAUUGGCUGAACAAAUUGCAGUUAAUAAACAUAAUAGAAUACUGUUGCAGUGUAAGAAAUGUUAAAAGAGAUGGUUUUAGGGAAACUUGGGAAGGUAUGUAUGAAUUGAUAGUGAACAGAACCGGGAAAACAAUUUAUAUAAUUAAUAUUUGUAUACAGAAAGUCUAUUUUGAAAAUCUUAAUUCAGUAACCAACUAACUCCAGAGAGUAUGCUACUUUCUGACAAGAGAUGAUGAAUUUUUAGUACAAAAUGAGACUUUUUUUUUUUUUUUUUUGGCAUAGCCAGUGUGAGAACUUGUUUUGAGGGUUUGGUUUUUGAUGGAGGGCAUGACUUGGGGAUGUCAAAGAGAAAAAGAAUUGAAAAGGGGUCCUUGAAGCACUUUUAAAAAUGUGCAAAAGACAACUGGAUGAAAUCUAGCAGGGAAAAGAUACAACACAAGACAGCUUUGAAAGUUACAUGUUGAAUUACUUAUAUAUUAGGAAAAGCAAGUCGUACAGUAUAGAUCUGCAGUUUUAUAUUUCUCUUAUGUUCUACUUUGUGGAAAUGUUUGUUUUCUUUGAAUAAAAAGAAAAAUUAACAAAAA